rnacentral:RNase_P_RNA from 1 species
GCAGAAUUGAGGUCUGUCGCUGCGUGAUAUCCUUGUCUGGUAUCACGGAGAGGAAAGUCCGGGCAACACAGAGCACCGCACAUCCUAACAGGAAGCCGGCGGCGACGUCGAGGCAAGUGUGACAGAAAACAACCGCCUCCGUUUGAUGUAUCAUCUCGGAGGCAAGGGUGAAAAGGCGGGGUAAGAGCCCACCGGCUCCGGUGGCGACACCGGAGGCCGCACAUCCUGCGGGUUGCAAGGCCAAAUAUACCGGCAACGAAGGAUUGCUCGUCCAUUGCCGGGGGGUAGGCUGCUCCAGCCGGCGGGAGACCGUCGGUGUAGAUAAAUGACAGACUCCGGCUAUUCUUGCCGGAACAUAACCCGGCUUAUAUCUUUUCUGCAUUC